rnacentral:rRNA from 1 species
UACGGGGGGGGCAAGCGUUGUUCGGAAUUACUGGGCGUAAAGGGCCAGUAGGCGGCCAACUAAGUCCGACGUGAAAUCCCAAGGCUUAACCUUGGAACUGCGUCGGAUACUGGAUGGCUUGAAUUCGGGAGAGGGAUGCAGAAUUCCAGGUGUAGCGGUGAAAUGCGUAGAUAUCUGGAGGAACACCGGUGGCGAAGGCGACAUCCUGGACCGGUAUUGACGCUGAGGCGCGAAAGCCAGGGGAGCAAACGGG